UAUGUCAGCUCAAAUUCGGCUUGAAAUUAAUUUCGAGCCUAAAUCUAGGCUCAAGCUCGGCUUGAAAUUAAUUUGAGCUGAGCUCGAGCGAGCCUAAUUUCGAGUCGAGCUGAGCUCGAGCUCUAAACGAGCCGAUUGAAAUUCUCGACAUUAUAUAAUCAAUAGUUUAAUUUUUAUAGAACAUUACCUACAAUUUGAUG
rnacentral:lncRNA from 1 species